rnacentral:rRNA from 1 species
UGGGGAAUUUUGCACAAUGGGGGAAACCCUGAUGCAGCGACGCCGCGUGAUUUAGAAGGCCUUCGGGUUGUAAAAAUCUUUUCUAUGGGAAGAAAAUGGCAGUACCAUAGGAAUAAGGACCGGCUAAUUACGUGCCAGCAGCCGCGGUAAUACGUAAGGUCCGAGCGUUGUCCGGAAUCAUUGGGCGUAAAGGGUACGUAGGCGGGUAAGCAAGUUAGAAGUGAAAUCCUAUAGCUCAACUAUAGUAAGCUUUUAAAACUGCUCAUCUUGAGGUAUGGAAGGGAGAGUGGAAUUCCUAGUGUAGCGGUGAAAUGCGCAGAUAUUAGGAGGAAUACCGGUGGCGAAGGCGACUUUCUGGCCAUAACCUGACGCUGAGGUACGAAAGCGUGGGUAGCAAACAGG